AGUGAACGCUGGCGGUAGGCCUAACACAUGCAAGUCGAACGGCAGCACAGUAAGAGCUUGCUCUUACGGGUGGCGAGUGGCGGACGGGUGAGGAAUACAUCGGAAUCUACUUUUUCGUGGGGGAUAACGUAGGGAAACUUACGCUAAUACCGCAUACGACCUACGGGUGAAAGCAGGGGAUCUUCGGACCUUGCGCGAUUGAAUGAGCCGAUGUCGGAUUAGCUAGUUGGCGGGGUAAAGGCCCACCAAGGCGACGAUCCGUAGCUGGUCUGAGAGGAUGAUCAGCCACACUGGAACUGAGACACGGUCCAGACUCCUACGGGAGGCAGCAGUGGGGAAUAUUGGACAAUGGGCGCAAGCCUGAUCCAGCCAUACCGCGUGGGUGAAGAAGGCCUUCGGGUUGUAAAGCCCUUUUGUUGGGAAAGAAAAGCAGCAGGUUAAUACCCAGCUGUUCUGACGGUACCGAAAGAAUAAGCACCGGCUAACUUCGUG
rnacentral:rRNA from 1 species